CCUACGGGUGGCAGCAGUGAGGAAUAUUGGUAAAUGGACGAGAGUCUGAACCAGCCACGUAGCGUGAAGGAUGACUGCCCUAUGGGUUGUACACUUCUUUUAUAAAGGACUAAAACGAGGCACGUGUGCCUUAUUGCAUGUACUUUAUGAAUAAGGAUCGGCUAACUCCGUGCCAGCAGCCGCGGUAAGACGGAGGAUCCGAGCGUUAUCCGGAUUUAUGGGGUUUAAGGGGAGCGUAGAUGGGUUGUUAAGUCAGUGGUGAAAGUUUGCGGCUCAACCGUAAAAUUGCAAUUGAUACUGGCAGUCUGGAUUACAGUUGAGGUAAGCGGAAUUAGUGGUGUAGCGGUGAAAUGCUUAGAGAUCACGAAGAACCCCGAUUGCGAAGGCAGCUUACUAAACUGUGACUGACAUUGAUGCUCGAAAGUGUGGGUAUCAAACAGGAUUAGAUACCCCGGUAGUC
rnacentral:rRNA from 1 species